rnacentral:rRNA from 1 species
GACGAACGCUGGCGGCGUGCUUAACACAUGCAAGUCGAACGGAAAGGCCCUGCCUUUGUGGGGUGCUCGAGUGGCGAACGGGUGAGUAACACGUGAGUAACCUGCCCUUGACUUUGGGAUAACUUCAGGAAACUGGGGCUAAUACCGGAUAGGAGCUCCUGCUGCAUGGUGGGGGUUGGAAAGUUUCUGCGGUUGGGGAUGGACUCGCGGCUUAUCAGCUUGUUGGUGGGGUAGUGGCUUACCAAGGCUUUGACGGGUAGCCGGCCUGAGAGGGUGACCGGCGACAUUGGGACUGAGAUACGGCGCAGACUGCUACGGGAGGCAGCAGUGGGGAGUAUUGCACAGUGGGCGGAAGCCUGAUGCGGCAACGCCGCGUGCGGGAUGACGGCCUGCGGGUUGUAAACCGCUUUCGCCUGUGACGAAGCGGGAGUGACGGUAAUGGGUAAAGAAGCACCGGCUAACUACGUG